ensembl:snoRNA
AUCAUUUUGUAGUUCAUAAGUGUGAUGAUUGGGUGUCCGAGCUCUUGUGUGAGACGUGCCUCUCUCAAACAUUGUUACGACAUCGGCACGUUACCCAUCUGAUG